rnacentral:rRNA from 1 species
UAGUUUGACUGGGGCGGUCUCCUCCCAAAGAGUAACGGAGGAGCACGAAGGUGGGCUAAUCACGGUUGGACAUCGUGAGGUUAGUGCAAUGGCAUAAGCCCGCUUAACUGCGAGAAUGACGGUUCGAGCAGGUGCGAAAGCAGGUCAUAGUGAUCCGGUGGUUCUGUAUGGAAGGGCCAUCGCUCAACGGAUAAAAGGUACUCCGGGGAUAACAGGCUGAUACCGCCCAAGAGUUCAUAUCGACGGCGGUGUUUGGCACCUCGAUGUCGGCUCAUCACAUCCUGGGGCUGAAGUCGGUCCCAAGGGUAUGGCUGUUCGCCAUUUAAAGUGGUACGCGAGCUGGGUUUAGAACGUCGUGAGACAGUUCGGUCCCUAUCUGCCGUGGGCGUUGGAAGAUUGAAGGGGGCUGCUCCUAGUACGAGAGGACCGGAGUGGACGAACCUCUGGUGUUCGGGUUGUGUCGCCAGACGCAUUGCCCGGUAGCUAAGUUCGGAAUUGAUAAGCGCUGAAAGCAUCUAAGCGCGAAGCGAGC